rnacentral:rRNA from 1 species
AUUGAACGCUGGCGGCAUGCCUUACACAUGCAAGUCGAACGGUAACAGGUCUUCGGAUGCUGACGAGUGGCGAACGGGUGAGUAAUACAUCGGAACGUGCCUAGUAGUGGGGGAUAACUACUCGAAAGAGUGGCUAAUACCGCAUGAGAUCUACGGAUGAAAGCAGGGGAUCGCAAGACCUUGUGCUACUAGAGCGGCCGAUGGCAGAUUAGGUAGGUGGUGGGAUAAAAGCUUACCAAGCCGACGAUCUGUAGCUGGUCUGAGAGGGCGAUCAGCCACACUGGGACUGAGACACGGCCCAGACUCCUACGGGAGGCAGCAGUGGGGAAUUUUGGACAAUGGGCAAAAGCCUGAUCCAGCAAUGCCGCGUGCAGGAUGAAGGCCUUCGGGUUGUAAACUGCUUUUGUACGGAACGAAAAGCCCCGGGUUAAUACCCUGGGGUCAUGACGGUACCGUAAGAAUAAGCACCGGCUAACUACGUGCCAGCCGCCGCCGUAA